GCAAAGUGGACACUGGGACACCAGCGAUGGUCCUCCUCAAUCUGUUUUUCAAUCAACUCGAUCUAAAAGUCUGGGUGGAAAACCAUGGCGUACACUAUGUGACCAAAGAUGACAUCUAACUACUCCUGACUACCUGAACAAUGAUUAUUGAGGCUAAUGACAGGCUUGGCUAACAGCGAAACUUGAGCAGCUGCAGGUAUGUCUAUACACACAUGCUCACAGCCAGCGCCAUAAUAUCAUAAUAACAUCAGUUACACAAUUCAGCCGUAUAUGAAUGAAAUGGAGCAGUUGUAAAUUUUAAACACUUUUCUAUAGUAUUUCAGAGAAAACAUUCCAGUGUUUAUUUGAGUUAAACAUCCACCAGUUUGUUCUCAAAUAUAAGAAGUCUUAUGGAUAAACAUUUAAUACAUGAACAUUUAAAAAAAAAAAAGCAAGGCAUUUUAAUCAACACUGAUUUUUUUGUUCAUUAUAUUAUUGCAUAAACCUUGCAACUCAAAAAACAAAAACUUUUCAUCAACUUUUUAAAUUGAAAUCAAUAUAAAAUCAUUUUUCUGAUUUGAAUUCCAGAACAAAUCUAUUUGUCAAUUUAUUAUGAUAUUUGAGCAGAUUCAAGAUUUACAAUUCAAGAUUCAAGAUUUUUUUUUGUCACGUCACAGAGUACAGGUGUACAUGUGAGUAAAAAACUUGGGUGCAGGUUCCCACUAGUGUGCAGAGAACAAUACGUAGUAUUUACAACACGUAGAAUAAUAAAAUAAAAAUACAAAUGACUUUACA
rnacentral:lncRNA from 1 species